rnacentral:lncRNA from 1 species
CCCAGCUGGAGUGUAGUGGCGCAAUCUUAGCUCACUGCAUCCUCCCACCUCAGCCUCCCAAGUAGCUGGGACUACAGGCAUGCACCACCACACCUAGCUAAUUGUUGCAUUUUUUGUAGAGGCACCUGGUCGCCCAGGCUGGUCUCAAACUCCUGAGCUCAAGCUCAAGUGAUCUACCCACCUCAGCCUCCCAGAAUGCUAGGAUUACAGGCGUGAGCCACCAUGCCCAGCCUUAAUUUUUUCUAAUCUUGCAAGUCUGCCUUUAAACAGUGCAAGAGGUUGGGACAAAAUAACUGUUUUUGCUGUCUUUCCUUCUCUAGAUUCACUUCAGACAUUUUGACUUUACUUUAAAGCAAAUAUUAAGGCCAGUUUUGAAGAGAGAGGAAAAUUGCCAAACACUACUAUCCAGAGUUGUGUAAGGGAGGAUGGGGGUUGGACUCAUGAGCCUCACUCUGUGUUAUAGCACCAGCUGGUGGAGCCAGUGCCUUCUCUCCUGUGGCUCCCUGCCUGAAUCACUGCCCAGCUGCCAGUCUACUCCGUUUUUUGUUUUCCCUAAGCGGCCCGUCCAUCCUCCUCAUCCAGAUCUGCCAGCCCUGGUCCAUCAGUGCAGACUAGCUGGGGUGUACUAGAGGCCUGACAAAGGACACAGCAGGAUGGAAUCUGAGGACACCACAGGCCUGCAAUGUGGGUGAGCCAUCCUGGCUGCUCUUCAUGACUUCAACCAGUUUCAAGCUGGCAGAGUUCUUUUCAGAAAAAGCCCUAAGAGGGGAGGGUCCCUUUAUUGCCAAGAUUCUUCUGUUCUUCCCCUGACAAGUGACUGGCCCCACUCCCAGCUGCCAACCUUGCCCAAAUUUCCCAUUCUGGUGACUGGCUGGGAGCUAUCAGAGGGAAAGAAGGUGCAUUUGAGUCAUGUGCUCACAGCAGCUGUUGCCUUUUCCUAUUCAGAUCUUUCCCAGUUCUGAAGUUGAAAGUUUUAAAACAAUUGGGAACAUAGGUACUGCUCGGUUCCCAAGAGGUAGGCACCUUGUGCUCUGGAGAGAAGGCCCAGUGGUCUUUUGCCUUCAUCUGAAGCUG